ACACAUCCACUACUAUAGAGCGCUACACCGAUACUUCUCACUUUUUCAACUUUUUUGACAUGUGUUUUCUUUCAAAAUCACCAGGGGAUCAAAUACUUUUCCCCCUCACUGUAUGUAUAUAGCCGUUUUAAUCACGUUGUUGGUGUGACUCUUGAAAUGGUUCGUAUCUAGGAAGUUGGAGAGGUUUCUGAAUAUAGGGCCGCCUAUAGGUAGUCUAUUUGAGGUAGGGGA